UACGUAGGGGGCAAGCGUUGUCCGGAUUUAUUGGGCGUAAAGAGCGUGUAGGCGGCCUGAAAGGUCAGCUGUGAAAACUCGAGGCUCAACCUCGAGACGUCGGUUGAAACCAUCUGGCUAGAGUCCGGAAGAGGAGUGUGGAAUUCCCGGUGUAGCGGUGAAAUGCGCAGAUAUCGGGAAGAACACCCGUGGCGAAGGCGGCACUCUGGGCCGUAACUGACGCUGAGGAGCGAAAGCGUGGGGAGCGAACAGG
rnacentral:rRNA from 1 species